rnacentral:misc_RNA from 1 species
GAUUUGUCCCAAAUGCAACUUUAUGAACUUCUCUAAGAAUAUACGAUGCCUAAAAUGUAGUGAAGAAGGUCCAAAAAAAGUUGGUGCUUUUGAUACUGAAAUGAAGAAAGGAGAUUGGAUAUGUCCCAAAUGUGAUUUCAUGAAUUUCUCUAGAAAUAUAAGAUGCCUAAAGUGCAAAACAGAGGGACCAAAGGUGGUUGGUGUAAAUGAAGUACAAAUGAAGCCAGGAGAUUGGAAUUGCCCAGAGUAAGUUGCCUAUUGUUUUUAUCUUGCCAAGCAGAGCACCGGAC